rnacentral:snoRNA from 1 species
UUGGAUUGGCCAGUGAUGAAACUUUAGUUUUUUUAGUCUGAACUUUCCCAGCUCUUGCUGCUGCAUAUCAAAAUCACAUUUGAUGUAAUUGAUGUCUCAGGAAGAGUCCCUAGUUCUCUUCCUGAGCUCAUUCGA